rnacentral:tRNA from 1 species
GGUGGCUCAGUGGUAGAGCGAUUGCCUUGCAUGCAUGAGGUCCUGGGUUCGAUUCCUCAGCACCA